rnacentral:tRNA from 1 species
GCCGAAGUGGCGGAACUGGCAGACGCACUAGAUUCAGGGUCUAGCGCUCGCAAGGGCGUGCGGGUUCAAAUCCCGCCUUCGGCACCA